UACAGAGGGGGCAAGCGUUGUUCGGAAUUACUGGGCGUAAAGGGCUCGUAGGUGGCCAACUCAGUCGGACGUGAAAUCCCUCGGCUUAACCGGGGAACUGCGUCCGAUACUGGAUGGCUUGAGAUCGGGAGAGGGAUGCGGAAUUCCAGGUGUAGCGGUGAAAUGCGUAGAUAUCUGGAGGAACACCGGUGGCGAAGGCGGCAUCCUGGACCGACACUGACACUGAGGAGCGAAAGCCAGGGGAGCAAACGGG
rnacentral:rRNA from 1 species